UUCUGCUUCACUUUGAACAGC
rnacentral:misc_RNA from 1 species